rnacentral:rRNA from 1 species
UGGGGAAUCUUGCACAAUGGGGGAAACCCUGAUGCAGCGAUGCCGCGUGAGUGAAGAAAGCCUUUGGGUUGUAAAACUCUUUCGCCGAGGAAGAAAAUGACUGUACUCGAAUAAGAAGGUCCGGCUAACUUCGUGCCAGCAGCCGCGGUAAUACGAAGGGACCUAGCGUAGUUCGGAAUUACUGGGCUUAAAGAGCUCGUAGGUGGUUAAAGAAGUUGGUGGUGAAAUCCCAAGGCUUAACCUUGGAACUGCCAUCAAAACUUUUUAGCUAGAGUGUGAUAGAGGAAAGUGGAAUUUCUAGUGUAGAGGUGAAAUUCGUAGAUAUUAGAAAGAACACCAAAAGCGAAGGCAACUUUCUGGAUCAUUACUGACACUGAGGAGCGAAAGCAUGGGUAGCGAAGAGG